UAUGUUGUGGUACACAUUACACAGAGAUCUGCUGUCGAUUUUGACUAAGAGUGUAUUUGAAAGUUGUGCAGUUGUAAUUGAAGAUGCAAGAGGUAAGAUUGAAAAUAUUGUGGCACAUAAGCUCCUCAGGUUGAAAACUUAAUGUUUGCGUAAAUUGGUGUAUCUUACACCAAGCUUGAAUUAGAUAUUUUUUAUCUGCCAACUAAAAAUGUGCGUAGAAAAAGGCUAAUGUAAAUAAUAAAACUAAUCGUCGUGUACCUGCGGAAAGGAAGAUAGAACAUAGCCAAUCAAAAAAUAAAAGUACCUAUGCAACAACUUCGCUUAACACCAUUUGGACCAGCAGACACCUAUCUAUGGAUUGUCCAGUUCACUGUUCAUAGCUCUACCUAAGAAGACAAGACCAAAAACCUGUGCUGAUCAUAUAACGAUCAGUUUGUUAGGUCAUUUAUUGAAAUGUUUGCUAAAGCAAUAACUAAUAAAUGCGAGGAAUACCUAAGGGGGAC
rnacentral:lncRNA from 1 species